UGGGACGCCGCGUGGGGGAGGAAUGUUUAGGGUUGUAAACCCCUUUUCUCAGGGAAGAAGAACGACGGUACCUGAGGAAUCAGCAUAUGUAACUCUGCCCAGCAGCCGCGGUAAGACGGAGGAUGCAAGCCAUAUCCGGAAUUAUUGGGCGUAAAGCGUCAGAAGAGGGUUUAUCAAGUCUCCCGUUGAAGACUACAGCUUAUCUGUGGGCCGGCGGUGGAAAUUGAUGAACUGGAGUGAGGUAGGGGUAGAGGGAAUUCCCACUGUAGCGGUGAAAUUAAUAGGUCUUUGAAGUCACCAGUGGGAAGGCGCUUUACUGGCCGUACAGACGCAAUGAGAAAAAACAGGAAAUAG
rnacentral:rRNA from 1 species